AUUGAACGCUGGCGGCGUGCUUUACACAUGCAAGUCGAACGGUAACAGGGUGCUUGCACCGCUGACGAGUGGCGAACGGGUGAGUAAUGCGUCGGAACGUGCCGAGUAGUGGGGGAUAACGCAGCGAAAGUUGUGCUAAUACCGCAUACGUACUGAGGUAGAAAGUGGGGGACCUUCGGGCCUCACGCUAUUCGAGCGGCCGACGUCUGAUUAGCUAGUAGGUGAGGUAAAGGCUCACCUAGGCGACGAUCAGUAGCGGGUCUGAGAGGAUGAUCCGCCACGCUGGGACUGAGACACGGCCCAGACUCCUACGGGAGGCAGCAGUGGGGAAUUUUGGACAAUGGGCGAAAGCCUGAUCCAGCCAUGCCGCGUGUCUGAAGAAGGCCUUCGGGUUGUAAAGGACUUUUGUCAGGGAGGAAAUCCCUAGCGUUAAUACCGCUGGGGGAUGACAGUACCUGAAGAAUAAGCACCGGCUAACUACGUGCCAGCCGCCGCGGUAAGAC
rnacentral:rRNA from 1 species